ACCAGAUGCAGUGGUGUGUGCCUGUAGUCCCAGCCACUUGGGAGGCUGAUGCAGGAGCAUUGCUUGAGCCCAGGAGUUUUGGGCUAUAAUGCGCUGUGCAGAUCGGGUGUUCCGCACUAAGUUGGGCAUCAAUAUGAUGACUUCGCGGGAGUGGGAGACCACCAAGUGGCAUAAAGAGGGGUGAACUGGCCAAGGUUGGAAAUGGAGCAGGUCGAAACUCCCGGUGCUAAUCAGUAGUGGGAUCACACCUGUGAAUAGCUGCGGCACUCCAGCCUGGGCAACAUAGGGAGACUCUAUCU
rnacentral:SRP_RNA from 10 species